rnacentral:rRNA from 1 species
GACGAACGCUGGCGGCGCGCCUAACACAUGCAAGUCGAACGGGGCGCACCGGACGAAGCCUUCGGGUGGAAUUAGGUGUUGCCUAGUGGCGAACGGGUGAGUAACACGUGAAUAACCUGCCCUUUAGUGGGGGACAACAUUUGGAAACAGAUGCUAAUACCGCAUAAGACCACGGUACCGCAUGGUACAGUGGCCAAAGUAGCAAUACGCUAGAGGAUGGAUUCGCGUCCGAUUAGAUAGUUGGUGGGGUAAUGGCCUACCAAGUCGACGAGCGGUAGCCGGACUGAGAGGGUGAUCGGCCACAUUGGGACUGAGACACGGGCCAGACUCCUACGGGAGGCAGCAGUGGGGAAUAUUGGGCAAUGGGGGCAACCCUGACCCAGCGACGCCGCGUGAGGGAAGAAGGUUUUCGGAUUGUAAACCUCUGUCCUCGGGGAAGAUAAUGACGGUACUUGAGGAGGAAGCCCCGGCUAACUACGUGCCAGCCGCCGCGGUAA